UACGGAGGGUGCAAGCGUUAUCCGGAUUCACUGGGGUUAAAGGGUGCGUAGGUGGGCAGGUAAGUCAGUGGUGAAAUCUCCGGGCUUAACCCGGAAACUGCCAUUGAUACUAUCUGUCUUGAAUACCGUGGAGGUGAGCGGAAUAUGUCAUGUAGCGGUGAAAUGCUUAGAUAUGACAUAGAACACCAAUUGCGAAGGCAGCUCACUACGCGAAUAUUGACACUGAGGCACGAAAGCGUGGGGAGCAAACAGG
rnacentral:rRNA from 1 species